AUUGAACGCUGGCGGCAUGCCUUACACAUGCAAGUCGAACGGUAACAGGUCUUCGGAUGCUGACGAGUGGCGAACGGGUGAGUAAUACAUCGGAACGUGCCUAGUAGUGGGGGAUAACUACUCGAAAGAGUGGCUAAUACCGCAUGAGAUCUACGGAUGAAAGCAGGGGAUCGCAAGACCUUGUGCUACUAGAGCGGCCGAUGGCAGAUUAGGUAGUUGGUGGGAUAAAAGCUUACCAAGCCAACGAUCUGUAGCUGGUCUGAGAGGACGAUCAGCCACACUGGGACUGAGACACGGCCCAGACUCCUACGGGAGGCAGCGGUGGGGAAUUUUGGACAAUGGGCGAAAGCCUGAUCCAGCAAUGCCGCGUGCAGGAUGAAGGCCUUCGGGUUGUAAACUGCUUUUGUACGGAACGAAAAGCCCCGGGUUAAUACCCUGGGGUCAUGACGGUACCGUAAGAAUAAGCACCGGCUAACUACGUGCCAGCCGCCGCGGUAA
rnacentral:rRNA from 1 species